UUCAUUUUUUUCUUCACAUCCAUUGUAUUGUUAAAAUUUUUUUUUGUUAUACUAGACAAUAGAAAGGAACAAUGUUAGUAUUUUAAAUAAAUUGAAAAAAAUAACGGAAACUUGAUGAAUUUCAAAACGAGGCUACAACAACAACUUGUUUUCAAAUUCAAACAAAGACAAAGGACUUUAUAGACAUCAUAGAAGUAAAAAACUGACUCUAAUGUUUGAUGACAAUUAGCUGAUAACAAUGUAUAUAUUUGUAUACAUGAAAAACAGUCGACAGAAAAAAACAUUUGGACAUAAAAGAAUGAUGAGGACAUCAAAUUAAGUUUCAAGGGGAAAAGACAAGUUGAACCUCAAAACAAGUUUUUACAUCAUUAUUUGACACAGUGUCUCCGUAGAUGAAAAUAAUCAGGAUCCAGUGGUGAACGUUUAGUAUAUCAGAAAUAUUCACAUGGAGGAGUAUAUCUCCAAAUUUAAUAUUUUUAAGUUAGUUUUAGAAGAAAAAAGACCAAAAAAAAACACCUACUUUCUUUAAAAGUAAAUAUUAUUGUUUUGUGUGUUACAUUUAAUUUUGACAGAAGGGAAUAUUUUCCCUCACUUAUCCAAUUUUGUUACCGAUGAAAUCAACUGCAAAAGAAAGGUUUAUUUUCCAUGAAUUCCAUUUUCUAUGAGUUUUUAAAAGAAAACCUUUUUAAGCAUGUUGUAAACUUUAAUUGACAUAUGUUGUAAUAGAUAAUAGUAGUUAAUGUAUACUGUACAUAGACCUUUAAAUGUAAAUGAUUUGUUGACUGUUAUUUGUUAUAAUUUUGGAUUACACAAUGUGUAUUAUUGUAUUGACUGAAAGAGGUCUGAUAAAUGUUGAACAAUUUUGAAAAGACAUGUAGCUCUUAUUUUUUUUAAUUUUAAUAGUUUAUAUACAUUUUAUAAAUAUCAAACCUUAUUUUGUUAUCACUAUAAAUGAUUAAAAGUGAGUCCUUUUUUGAUGUUAUGCAUAUAUGUUGGAAAAAUAUAUUUACUGUAUAGUAAGUUUUACAUGAAUAGUUCGUUUAAUUGUUUUUAUGAUUACUUUCUUGAAUAAUAAAAUCACUUUUCGAGUAUAGAAAGUUUUGUAUUUUCUCUUUAUUUGGGAAUUAUUUAAAGAAAACGGGUCAGAUUUAUGUUGGGAAUUGGUUGGAAUUACGUUGGAAACUAGUUGGUAUUACGUCAGUAACUGGUUGGAAUCAUGUUGGAAACUGGUUGGAUUCACGUUGGGAAUAGGUUGGAAAGUAGUUGUAUAUACGUUACAUAUAGGUUGGAUUUAUGUCAUUUUAUGACGUUGGAUUGACGUCGGAUUCUGACGUCUAAAAAACUUUCAUAUACAACUAAAUUCCAACGUCUAUCCAACGUCGGACUCUAACGUCUGAGCAACGUUGAAACAACGUCAUGUGUUUGCUG